UCUACCUCAUCCACUAACUCGUCGUCCCACUCCUCCUCCUCUUCUUCUUCUUCAUCUUUUUUUCUCUCUUUUCUUUUUACCGUUCUAACCCAGUCAAACUUCUCCGACGAUUUUCCUCUCUUCUCUUUUCCUCUUGUCCUCUUCGAGCUCAUAUGGAGGAGGAUCGUUGAUAUUUUUGUACAUACAUAUGAACUUAGUAUACUAGAGACCAAACUCGUGAACGUUAUCGUUACUUCGAGAGGUAUAUCAAAGAAAACGAGAAUGAAAGAGAAAUUAAACAGACUUUGUCUAACUUUCGUUAGUUUGAAUUUGGUUCGAGUCCAUUAAUCAAUUUAAACAUUAGAAGAUAAAUGAAAGAAAAAAAGAAAGAUAGAAAGAAAGAAAGUGUGAUAGAAAAAUCGUUUGAUCGAAAAUCAGAAUAAUGUGUAUACGUACACAUAUGUAUAUGUGUAUGUGUCAUGCACAGAGGACAACCCUUUCUGCAAUUGGUCAUUAGCCCUUGUCUAAUGGCACGACCAUUAGGAGGAUUCGGUCGAUGUUCGAAUCAAAGAGAGAUAACUGGUAGAUUCGAAAGCCAUAAACGAUGAUGCUAAUCGCUCGGCGAGCCGUUAGUAAUUAACCUCGUCCUCCGUUUCACAUUGCAUUACUCGAUUAAAUCCUAUUUUGCUAUGGGAUUUGUUAACGAUAGGCUCACGGUAACGAUUUUGAACGAGAAGUUGCCUCAGGGAUUUUACUCUUUGACUCUGGACUUUACGUGAGUUUCUCUAUCAAUAUUGAACUAGAACGAUAUUAAUUACUUCGCUUUAUAAUGUCCACUCUAGCGAAUACUAACAACACGUCUUUACACUAAACUCGUAUUUAUAUAUAUUUAUCCGAUGAUAAUGAUGACGACUUAUUGUUGA